rnacentral:rRNA from 1 species
GUCGAGCGAACGGACGAGAGUGCUUGCACUCUCUGAUGUUAGCGGCGGACGGGUGAGUAACACGUGGGUAACCUACCUAUAAGACUGGGAUAACUUCGGGAAACCGGAGCUAAUACCGGAUAAUAUUUAGCUUCGCAUGAAGCAAUAGUGAAAGACGGUUCUGCUGUCACUUAUAGAUGGACCCGCGGUGUAUUAGCUAGUUGGUGAGGUAACGGCUCACCAAGGCAACGAUACAUAGCCGACCUGAGAGGGUGAUCGGCCACACUGGGACUGAGACACGGCCCAGACUCCUACGGGAGGCAGCAGUAGGGAAUCUUCCGCAAUGGACGAAAGUCUGACGGAGCAACGCCGCGUGAGUGAAGAAGGUUUUCGGAUCGUAAAACUCUGUUGUAAGGGAAGAACAAGUACGUUAGUAACUGAACGUACCUUGACGGUACCUUACCAGAAAGCCACGGCUAACUACGUGCCAGCAGCCGCGGUAAUACGUAGGUGGCAAGCGUUAUCCGGAAUUAUUGGGCGUAAAGCGCGCGUAGGCGGUCUCUUAAGUCUGAUGUGAAAGCCCCCGGCUCAACCGGGGAGGGUCAUUGGAAACUGGGAGACUUGAGUGCAGAAGAGGAGAGUGGAAUUCCAUGUGUAGCGGUGAAAUGCGCAGAGAUAUGGAGGAACACCAGUGGCGAAGGCGGCUCUCUGGUCUGUAACUGACGCUGAGGUGCGAAAGCGUGGGGAUCAAACAGGAUUAGAUACCCUGGUAGUCCACGCCGUAAACGAUGAGUGCUAAGUGUUGGGGGGUUUCCGCCCCU